AUGGACCUCCUCCAAAAAGCGGAGGUGGACCUCGGAGCUCCGCCUCUAGACCCCUUUAGUGUUGGUGACGACUUGGAGGAAAAGGAGGAAGAUGAGGAGGAUGAAGGGGAUGACGAGGAGGAGGUGGCCGAGAUAGGGGUGGAGGCAUUCACCGCCGCUUCCCGCCCACACGCGCGGUCGACAAACUACACCGAGGCGGAAGAUGUCCUCUUGGUUCGUGCUUGGGCAGCUGUGGGAAUGGAUGCAACCACCGGCACCGAUCAAACCGGUAAACUGUAUUGGCAAAGGAUCGAGGACGUCUAUUGUAGGAUCAAGCCGAAGAAUAGUGGGUUCAUCCAUCGCACUUUCCGGUCGCUUCAAGGCCGGUGGGAGUUGAUCAAGCCCGCUUGUUCUCGUUGGAGUGCGGCCAUGGACCAAGUGAGGGAUGCACCACCUAGUGGAAUCGUGGAGAGUGACUAUGAGACAAUUGCCGGCUUGAGGUACAAGGAGAUGGCCGCUUCCAAGGGCAAGCCAUUCCCAUUUAAGCAUGUCUGGUCAAUUCUUCAAACCUUUGAGAAGUGGAAGUUGAGGGAUCAAAAGACCGCACCCAAGAAGUCGGCAAUGCUAAGGAUGGACGAUAGUGAAGAUGAGGAGGAGAGGAACUUGGGCAAGCCCGAGGGAAACAAGAAGGGCAAGCUAAGGGUGAAGAUGGAAGAAGAGGCGUCAAGCCUAAGGGAGAAGAUGGACCACAUGAUGAAGGCAAGAGAGGAAUUGACAACAAAGACAUUGGAGAUGAAGCUUCUUAUCACCGAGAAGAAGAAAGAGGUCAAGCUUGCACAAGUUGAAGCAAAGCGUGAAGAAGCAAAGCGCAAGGCCGAGUUAGAGGAGAGGAUGAUCAAGCUCAAAGAGGCAAAGGUAUGGAAAGAACUCAUGGUGGAAGAGAAAGAGCACAUGAUGAUGUCCAAGAAGGACAUGGAUCAAGACCAAUUGCAAUGGUGGAAGGACUACAAGGAGGACAUCGUGGAGAGGAAGAGGAUGUUCCGUGUUGCGUCCUCUACUUUUCGAGGUGACACUCCGAUGAGUAGUUGUGGUGAUGGCGUGUGUACGACUCCACCGGUGCCGAUGAAGAUGCUUGAUGGAGCCCGCUUGUGGUCUAGGAGAUGGCGCCGAGGUGCAACUUUUGGUGAUGGUGCCGAUGAGAGAAGGAAGAUGAUGAUUUUGUGA
rnacentral:rRNA from 1 species